rnacentral:misc_RNA from 1 species
AUUUGCACAUUUGAUAUCCCUAAAGUACCAUAAGAAAAUGCAAUGAGAUUUCAGUAUCAUAUAUGCUAGUUAUAUGUGAACCCAUGGUGUGUGCAUGCAAGAGUGCUUGAGUCAACUGCCAAAACUUCUGUAUUGUAAAAUGUGCACAAAAUUACUACAUUAAACACACAUAAAACCAAUAAAACAAAAUGCAGAAACAAAUAACCAAAAGGGGCCCAGUACUGAAUUGUAAUGUGGUGUAGCAAGCCAACCCUGUAUGAUAAAAAUUAAAGGACAAAAAAGAUAUGAAGAAUUUAACAACCUCCCUCCCCUCCCAAAAAGAAAAAACUUCACAGUGAAUCCUUACUCUGUUCAAAUAACAAAGUGAAAAGGGGGAAAAACUAACUUUGAUCAAAGAAACCCAAUAAUUCUUGAAGUGUGACAAUUACAGGACAAAUGAUUGAUAUCAGUGCACAACUACAGAAGGUCAAGUACCUUGACUUCACAAAAGGGAUGAAGAAGAGGUGCAAACUUAGGAUGAAAUGGGGUAAAAUAGAGAACAAAAACUUAAAGAGCACAAAACAUUUCUAAACAUAUUGCCCUAGACAAAAUGAAUUAAAAGGGCAGAUCCUUACAGCUGACCCCAAUUAAGUAGGGAUUAAUGCCUGAUUGAGUUGA